UACGGAGGGGGCUAGCGUUGUUCGGAAUUACUGGGCGUAAAGCGCACGUAGGCGGCUUUGUAAGUUAGAGGUGAAAGCCCGGGGCUGAACUCCGGAAUUGCCUUUAAGACUGCAUCGCUAGAAUUGUGGAGAGGUAAGUGGAAUUCCGAGUGUAGAGGUGAAAUUCGUAGAUAUUCGGAAGAACACCAGUGGCGAAGGCGACUUACUGGACACAUAUUGACGCUGAGGUGCGAAAGCGUGGGGAGCAAACAGG
rnacentral:rRNA from 1 species